UAACUUUUUUUUUGUCUUUUUUUGCUAUUUCUUGGGCCACUGCCGCGGCAUAUGGAGGUUCCCAGGCUAGGGGUUGAAUCGGAGCUGUAGCCACCGGCCUAACGCCAGAGCCACAGCAACACAGGAUCCGAGCCGCGUCUGCAACCUACACCACAGCUCACGGCAACGCCGGAUCGUUAACCCACUGAGCAAGGGCAGGGACCGAACCCGCAACCUCAUGGUUCCUAGUUGGAUUCGUUAACCACUGCGCCACGACGGGAAUUCCUAACAUGUAACAUUUUUAUCUAACUAUGCUGAAACGGAGGAGAGGGUGGGAUACCAAGAUGGGUCUUAGGCUUCAGCAUUCUCCCUCACAUCCUUAUUUGGAUGAAGAACCAGCAGGGGCGGUGUUAGUGUAAGUUUGAGAAAUGGUGUACUGAAUACUCUUUCAUGCUCUCCUUGAGGUCCCAUCAGAACGCUUUGGGUUGCUGACAGCAGAAAAGCAAUUUUAGACCCGCCUAUUUGCUGUCGUUGACUCGGUGAGAGCAGCAUAGCUUCCUGGGUGGCUUGUUCAGACUGUAAGCCCACUGGCCCUCCCUGCGUGGGGCUCCUCCCUCUCAGUUGCAAGCCUGCUCCCCCUAGCAGUAGCGACGGAGGGUUACUGCCCACAGCAGUUGGUCAGAAGUCUGGUGCUUUUAUCUGAUUAGACCAUCUUUGACCAGAUUACAGUAAGUAGCCAGAGGAAUGUGAUAACCCUAACUGGGUUGGGGCCUCCCCCGGGGCAGAGGGUGGGUUUGGCUGCCUAAACCGUAGGGCAACUCUGUGGCGGGGAGAGGUAUCUCUGAGGUGGAUGGCUGCUAGGCACCAGGUCAUAGCUGCUCUGAGUACAGAGUCAGAUGAUGACAUAUUCUUUUUAAUAGCGAUUUUUAUUUUUUCCGUUAGAGUGGGUUUACAGUGUUCUGUCAGUUUUCUACUGCACAGCAAGGUGACCCAGUCACACAUACAUGUAUACAUUCUUUUUAUGUAUAGGUGGGAACAAGGGGUUAAGGUAAAGCUUUAGUGCAGUGUCGCUGAGGCACAGUGGGUUAGGGAUCCGACUGCAGUGGCUCUGAUUGCUGCGGAGGCACAGGUUCACUCCCCAGCCCAGCACAGUGGGUUAAAGCACAGCAUACAUAGAUUGCAGCUGCGGCUCAGAUUUAAUCCCUGGCCUGGGAAUUUCCAUGUGCCACAGGCGAAGCCAUAAAAUGAAAAAUAAAAAAGAUAAAGAUUUAGUGAUAGAAACACCAUGCCUUGUAAAGUUAUGACUUACUGAUUUAUGUCCUGGAAAUGUAUUAUUCAAGAUGGAUAAAAAUUAUAUUUGAAGAAGAAAAAAAUUUGUCAUAAUUCAUUUAAAGGACCUAUUCUAGCAAGGCCAUCGCUCCAAGGCAUCAUUAUGUUCUUAGAAUGCUGGUGUAAUUGGUCAGCGAGAUACGUUGAAACAUGACCUUCUUGUAACUAGAUUAGAACAGAGCACGUUAGGAAGCCUUUUGGGGCACACGUGACUCCUCAAAGGCGUCACAAAUCCACCUUUGGCAGUAGGUGCCAUACUGAGUACAGAAGUUACGUACAACAUAAAAUAGAUUAAGGUUUUUUUUUUUUACUGUGACUUGGUUCUAAGGAAAAAAAAUGCUUCUGACUAGCAGUAUGUGGAAAUGAGGUUAGACUUGAGACCUGUUAUUUAAGAUUAUGCACGUAAGUGGAAGGAAGCCCUUGUUUUCUUAAUACAGAGACUUCUAGAGUUCCUUUGUGACUCAGUAGGUUAAGGAGCCAGUGUUGUUACUGCUGUGGCUUGGGUCGCUGCUGUGGCAUGGGUUCCAUCCCUGUCCUGGGAACUUCCAUAUGCCAUGGGUGCAA